CUUUGGAGAAGAGGAAGGCAGGGCUGGAGGGAAACCCUUAAGGCAAGUAGCACUGGACUGCAAUGAAAGGUGAUCUUCAGAAUCUUCCGAAGACAAUUCAAAUGGAAGCUCUUCAGUUUCCUGGUAUGGCUCUGGUAUACUGUCCAGGUUUCACAGGCAUACAACAAUGAGGAGCAAGAGUAAUACCUCAUGGACAAGCACGGAUGAGUUGUUAUCUGCAUCAUCUUAAGGAACCUGCGAAUGAUAAAAUCAA